UACGGAGGAGGCAAGCGUUAUCCGGAAUUAUUGGGCGUAAAGCGUCCGUAGGUGGCUCUUCAAGUCUGCUGUCAAAGAGUGGGGCUUAACCCUGCAAAGGCAGUGGAAACUGAAAGGCUAGAGAGCCGUAGGGGUAAGGAGGAAUUCCCGGUGUAGCGGUGAAAUGCGUAGAGAUCGGGAAGAACAUCGGUGGCGAAAGCGGGUCUCUGGGCCGAUACUGACGCUGAGGAGCGAAAGCGUGGGGAGCGAACAGG
rnacentral:rRNA from 1 species